AUAAUAUAUUUUUUUUAAUGAAAUGAGCCGGCCACGGCAGACGCUGGAAAGUUAGGGUUCGUAGAGGAGAGGGAGCGGCUCGAUAGGAGGAGUGAGAGAGAUUAAAGGCCGAAGUUGACGGAGUGUAAGGUUCUUGUUGAUCUUCUUCCGCGUCCGGAUUGGACUCUAGGGUUUCGUCCUCGUCGGCGCCUUGGACGAGAGAAGAGAGCAGGGAAGGGAGAGGAGGAGAGAAAGAGAGGGAGAGACGGAAGGAGACGGAGUUUCUUGUUGCCUUCCUCUUCUUCCUUGGUGCCUAGGACGAGGAUAGAAAGGAUGCCCGCAUUGUUUGUCACCUCAAUAUUCCAAAGGAAUCUUCUAGUGGAGUAUAUUGUACUAUGGACUGGAUGAUCACAAACAUUUACCAGACAUCAUCUCCACUUAACAGUUAGGUACAUGCGAUAGGAAUUCAUUCCACAUAAUGCCACUAUGAAAAAGAGAGAAUCUUCACCUCCCUCAGGUGGCUUGCCAGAGAAGUCUGUAGCUACAUUUACUCAGAUGGUGGAAUACUACGAAGGUUAUGGUUGUCAUAGGGGGGGAUUCUUCAAAGUUUUGGCGAACAGGUGUCAACAUCUUUAUGUCAGAAAUCAUGUGAUUCAUGUAAACAACCAAUCAUAGUUGUACAACACCUAAAGGAUCUUGAGGGAAAAACUUAUUCGCAGAAGGACAAGUUCUUUCCCAUUUUGACUAAAAGCUCAACCUACAUUCCUUUAGAAGGUCAACAUACUGAAUUUUGGAAUUGAGAAGAUGACAGUUUCUUGGAGGAAGCAAUACCAGAUUCUGGAGGUUUCUCCGUCGCAGACUCGUUGAUGGUAUGCUCUAGCGAUGCGGUGGCUAGGUCUCUCGGCAUCUGUCAGGUAUCCUUUAUCAAAGUACUUUAUCAUUGAUUUCUGGAGACCAAGUGGCUGAAUCCUCAGUUAAAGCAAAAUGCUGUGAUGGUUCACAGAAUAAUCCCAAGGGUAUUAUUGAACGAAUAUAUCCAUUGGGUGCAGCGAUUGGUAAACCAAAAUCUUCUACUGAGUGCAUCUCUCCUGCAAAAAUUGCACAAUCUGAGUGGAAGAGUUUGACAGAAAGUGAUAAUUCCUCCGAGUCUACUGCUAACAGGAUGAGAAACUUUGAGCAGACAAUGCAAACAAACAUCAUGUGAUGGAACAAAAACUUGAGGUGUCACAGGAAACCUUGAAUCUGAGCAAAGCAGAGCUGGCCUUUACAUCUGGUGUCACUGCUAAAAAGUUGGGUAAUUUGGUUCGAUCUUCAGAGACCUCGGAGAGAUCCUCCACCAAUGUUGUUACAAACAACUGAAGUUUCGAAGUUAGCAGUAUCCCAAAAAGUUUCAGUAAAACCAUCAUCUUUGUGCUUGAUCGAAAUUCUUUAUCUCAAAUGCUUCAGGCUGAUAGUAAUGCACCAGAUGCCAUUAAGUGGGGGGAAUGCUGAGAGCCCUCCUGCAUUGAUCUACCACAAAGAUGCUCGUAAAAGCAAGGGAGAGACAAGUGCGUGACUGGUUGGUCUAACGCGUCAAUUAACUAUUCAGUAGAGGAUGAUGCAGAAGAUCUGAAAGCCUUGCUCUUGUACUUUGAUACAUCCUGAACUUCCCUCCACGAGAUGUAUUGUCAUGAUGUAGAUUAAGAAAAUUUCAUCAUUGUUUCUGUUCAAGCCGAGCUCUUGUACUUUUACCUGGAUCGUGCUAAUUCUAGUUUGGUCCUUAAAUUUUUAUUAAAAAUUGUGUUAUGCUGAGCAUAUGCAUUCUUGGAUAAAUUCAUAUCUUUAAAAAUAAGGUAUUAGUGAGUGAUUA